rnacentral:rRNA from 1 species
CCCCUACGGGAGGCAGCAGUGGGGAAUAUUGCACAAUGGGCGAAAGCCUGAUGCAGCGACGCCGCGUGAGGGAUGGAGGCCUUCGGGUUGUAAACCUCUUUCGCUCAUGGUCAAGCCGCAGCUUUGGGUUGUGGUGAGGGUAGUGGGUAAAGAAGCGCCGGCUAACUACGUGCCAGCAGCCGCGGUAAUGGG